rnacentral:rRNA from 1 species
CAGAGGGUGCGAGCGUUAAUCGGAAUUACUGGGCGUAAAGGGUGCGUAGGUGGUUAUGUAAGUUAGAUGUGAAAUUUCCGGGCUUAACCUGGGAACUGCGUCUGAUACUGCAUAGCUAGAGUCCUGUAGAGGAAAGCGGAAUUUCCGGUGUAGCAGUGAAAUGCGUAGAUAUCGGAAGGAACAUCAGUGGCGAAGGCGGCUUUCUGGACAGAGACUGACACUGAGGCACGAAAGCGUGGGGAGCAAACAGGAUUAGAUACCCUGGUAGUCCAUGCUGUAAACGAUGAAGACUGGCUGUUGGCUGCCUAUAGGCAGUGAGUAGCGAAGCAAACGCGUUAAGUCUUCCGCCUGGGGAGUACGGCCGCAAGGUUA